AGAGAGAGAGAGAAGAGAAGAAGAAGAAGAAUGUAAUAGGGCCUGACCCAGAAGGGCAUGGAAGUGUUGGCCAUGCUGAGGCAACUCAUUGGACAAGUUAAACAACUCUUAGAACUUCAAUCUUCAUCUCCAUCUUCAUCAUCGCUUCUUGCUGUUCCUCCUAACAUCUCUUUUCAUCUUCAAACGCCACCACUUGUACACCUACCAAGAUGUUAUUUUCUGAAUCUUGAUGAAAAUUCUGCCGAAGACAGUUGCUACAAUAUCAUCAUGACUGCUGGAAAAUCUGAAAAUCUCAAGAUGUUGGAACCAGGAAAGCCUCCACCAAAGAAGAAAGCCCGGAAGGAGAGAAAUCAGGGAAAAGUGACUGGAACUUCAUGCUCCAUCGAGAAUUUGGAUCAGCAAAUUUGGAAAGAAUUUCCUGAAGACCUAUUUGAAGCUGUUGUUGCAAGACUACCAGUUGCCACUUUUUUCCGCUUCAGAUUAGUUUGCCGAAAAUGGAACUCAAUGCUGACGUCCCAAAGUUUUUCUGAAGAGUGUGCCCAAGUUCGUCAACCACAACCAUGGUUCUACACCAUUACUCAUGAAAACGUGAAUACUGGAGCCAUGUAUGACCCAACAUUGAAGAAAUGGCAUCAUCCUACUAUACCUGCACUGCCAACCAAGUUGAUAGUCUUGCCAGUUGCUUCUGCAGGAGGUCUUGUCUGUUUCCUUGAUAUUGGACAUAGGAGCUUCUACGUAUGCAACCCUCUCACUAGGUCUUUCAAAGAGCUACCAGCCAGAUCAGUUAAAGUGUGGUCCCGUGUGGCAGUAGGUAUGACAUUGUGUGGGAAAUCAGCCGGUGAGGGAUACAAUAUCCUUUGGGUUGGUUGCGAUGGAGAGUUUGAAGUUUACGACUCCAGAAAUAACUCUUGGGCUCGUCCAGGAACCAUGACGUCGAAUAUUAAGCUCCCUCUGGCACUCAACUUCAAGUCGCAGACAGUGUCCAUCGGUAGUAAACUUUACUUCAUGCGCUCGGACCCUGAUGGGAUCGUGUCCUAUGACAUGGUUUCUGGGGUUUGGAAACAGUUCAUUAUCCCUGCCCCUCUACAUUUGAGUGAUCAUACACUAGCAGAAUGUGGGGGGCGCAUAAUGCUUGUGGGUCUGCUGUCAAAGAACGCAGCCACUUGCGUGUGCAUAUGGGAGCUGCAAAAGAUGACUCUUUUGUGGAAGGAGGUUGACAGAAUGCCAAACAUAUGGUGCUUGGAGUUUUAUGGAAAGCACGUUCGAAUGACUUGCUUGGGUAACAAAGGUUUGCUCAUGCUAUCGCUAAGAUCAAGACAAAUGAACCGUCUAGUUACAUAUGAUUUCUCAAGCAGAGAAUGGAUGAAGGUCCCUGGUUGCGUUUUGCCACGUGGGAAAAAGAGGCAAUGGAUCGCAUGUGGGACUGCUUUUCAUCCCUGUCUAACAGCUGUGGCUUGAUUUGGACUGCCCAGUAAAGUUGUAGUCCCAGCAGGGCACUAUACUAGCUUUUCCAAUUAUCAUUUGCAGCCCAGUCUUCUGUGCUGAUAUAAGAAGAAAAACUAUGUGUGAAUUUAUUGCCACUCUCUCUUGUAUAAAC
rnacentral:misc_RNA from 1 species